CUAGACUCGCUUCACCAGACCAUCCACAUGCUGCGGAGCAGAGAAGGUCUGGCUAGUCCACACAGCAUUCUGGGUUGGGAGAAAAACUAUAAAAAUGUGCUCUGGUUUAACGGCAUUUCUUUAA